GAUGAACGCUAGCGGCAGGCUUAAUACAUGCAAGUCGUGGGGCAGCGCAGUGUAGCAAUACAUGGGCGGCGACCGGCAAACGGGUGCGGAACACGUACACAACCUUCCUUCAAAUGGGGAAUAGCCCAGGGAAACUUGGAUUAAUACCCCGUAACAUUAUGAAGUGGCAUCACUUUAUAAUUAUAGCUCCGGCGUUUGGAGAUGGGUGUGCGGCUGAUUAGGUAGUUGGCGGGGAACGGCCCACCAAGCCUUCGAUCAGUAACUGGUGUGAGAGCACGACCAGUCACACGGGCACUGAGACACGGGCCCGACUCCUACGGGAGGCAGCAGUAAGGAAUAUUGGGCAAUGGACGCAAGUCUGACCCAGCCAUGCCGCGUGGAGGAUGAAGGUCCUCUGGAUUGUAAACUUCUUUUCUC
rnacentral:rRNA from 1 species